rnacentral:rRNA from 1 species
UUCUGACCGUAAACGAUGCCAACUAGCGAUCCGCCGGUGGCUUCUAGGCCCUGGUGGGGAGCUUCCCGGAAACGAAAGUCUUCCGGUUCCGGGGGAAGUAUGGUUGCAAAGCUGAAACUUAAAGGAAUUGACGGAAGGGCACCACCAGGAGUGGAGCCUGCGGCUUAAUUUGACUCAACACGGGAAAACUCACCCGGCCCGGACACCGUAAGGAUUGACAGAUUGAUAGCUUUUUCAUGAUUCGGUGGUUGGUGGUGCAUGGCCGUUCUUAGUUCGUGGAUCGAUUUGUCUGGUUUAUUCCGAUAACGAGCGAGACUCCAGCCUACUAAAUAGUGCGGGCAUUGCCUCUGUGCUUGUCACUUCUUAGAGGGAUUGGCUGCGUCUAGCGGCACGAAACGGAGCAAUAACAGGUCUGUGAUGCCCUUAGAUGUCCGGGGCUGCACGCGCGCUACACUGGCAAAGGCAGCGUGCUUGUCCGUCUCCGAAAGGAGCCGGUAAACCCUUGAAAAUUUGCCGUGAUUGGGAUCGGAAAUUGCAAUUAUUUUCCGUGAACGAGGAAUUCCUAGUAAGUGCGAGUCAUCAGCUCGCGUUG